rnacentral:rRNA from 1 species
UACCAGCACCCCGAGUGGUCGGGACGUUUAUUGGGCCUAAAGCAUCCGUAGCCGGUUCUACAAGUCUUCCGUUAAAUCCACCUGCUUAACAGAUGGGCUGCGGAAGAUACUAUAGAGCUAGGAGGCGGGAGAGGCAAGCGGUACUCGAUGGGGUAGGGGUAAAAUCCGUUGAUCCAUUGAAGACCACCAGUGGCGAAGGCGGCUUGCCAGAACGCGCUCGACGGUGAGGGAUGAAAGCUGGGGGGAGCAAACCGG